rnacentral:sRNA from 1 species
UCUGACUAUUAAUCUUUCUCAGAUCUGAAGCAGAACACUGGUUAUGAGCAAAGCUUGGUUCUCGGUCCUAGGGUUGAAGCUGGCUGCCCCGCUUCUGUGACACACAGGCUCCUCUCUCGCUGGGAUUUCAUGGCUGGCCCGAAAGGCUGACAAACACCUUCACCCCGCAUGUGCUGUGACAUCACGAUGCCUCAGAAGCUGCGUGCUGUUGGUAUUUGGCUAGUGGCCACUGUUGGCAGUUAGCUAAAUUGCGUGUCCCUGGUUUCUCCAUGGCAAAAUCAGUGAAGGAGCAUCAUGGAGGCCAUCAAGUUUUCCUCACAGAAAAGAUCCAGGACCAAGGUUCUUGGUUUUCUGCCAACCGAGCUUCCUGUGGAGGGAGGUUCUCAGGGAAAUGCAAUGCACGAAAGGAAACCUCUCAGGGCCAGAGAAGCUGGAGCCUGAAUGUGAUGGCUGGCAAGCAUAGCCUUGAGUAUAUGAGUUACCAUGCGGCAUCCACAAAGCACUUCAUCAUCAGCACACACUCCAGUACAUGAAGUACAGAACGUUCUAAAGCUAAUGGGAAGAGCAGCCAAUUUCCUGACCGUUCAUCUCUGGAUCCUUUUUUUUUUUCAUUCAGUAAGCAGCCAAAACUCACUGCAAAGAAGUGGCUGCAAAGGUCACGCAGGAAGCUCUCGCCAUCUUUAAGUAAUUUCUUAUGCGCAGACGAGGAAUGUGUUGGAGCUGGGAGAGGAUGUGAUGUUUCUCUUCAGUGUCAACCUGAAAGGCAUGAGGCCUUUCUCAGCACACUGCUGCUGUCUCCCGC